rnacentral:tRNA from 1 species
GGUUUCGUGGUGGAAUGGCCAGCACACUUGGCGCGUAUCCGAGAGGUCCGAGGUUCGAAUCCCGGCGAGGGCA